GCGUCGGUAGUGCAGUGGGUUAGAGCGCGCGCUUCUGGUUAGGGUGAAAAUGCGGGUUCGAGCCCCUCCUGAUGCA